AUCAGCACCGGAUUUGUCAGGGAAUUGGAAUAGGCAAGGGGGGAAGUGAGCAAAUACUCUAAGUCUGCCACUCUACACCUCUGUCAUUUUAGACACCCUGUACAGAUCUACAUAACCUAAUCUCCACACAUCUCAACCCAGUGCGCCCUGUAUCCUACUGACCAGACAAGAAAGGCAAACAACCAUUUCUGUGCAGAGAGACAGUACAGCCUUGGUGAAUGUGGGGGACUGUGAGCAGACUCCUUUAACCAUGGAAAACUCAAGAUAAUUGAAGAUUUGCCCCUUUCUGUUUCUUCCACUCUAAAAAUUUUGUUAAAGUCUAUUUUACAUACAAAAUAUACUUUUUACUUCCGUAAAAAAAUGUGAAUAAAGAAGUCGAGAAACAUGAAAUAAAUAUAUACAUGAUAUGCCUCCUGCACAGGAAAGGAAAUAGUAGAGAAAUGUUUUUUUAUUAUUAUUAUUAUUCUUAAAACUUAUUGUAGAGUUGUAGGGUUAUUGAAAGAGAUUAUUAUUGUCAUCUUAAUCACUAGGGAUGAGCUAUGUUGUUUAGACACAUAUUCUAAGAAAAAGGCCUGAAAUUGGAGCAAAAUGGAAAAAUAACUAUUUUUGCAAGCAGCUCACACAGACUAAUUUCAUUGAAGAUUAAUAUAUUUUAUUGAUUUAUUUUAUAUUUAAUUGAAAACAAAAGCCACUUACCUCUGUUAUAAGGACUUAAUGAAAGACAAGAAUAUAUGGUUUAAUACUCAUGUGUGUCCCUCUGCACCUUUAAGUACCAAGUUUAUUUCAGUGUUUUAUUAUCAGCUGUCUCAGUGUUCCCACAAGUAAUGGUCAGCCCAGCCAAAAGCUGCCUGUGAUAGAAAUUGUGAGGAGUCCCAGGCUAACAGCAUACAGUGUAUCAACACAUUCUCUUUUAUGAGCUUUAAAAUGGAUUUUUCCAAUUUCACAGUAAGUUGCUUUGUUCUUCUACUAUGGAGAUGAAUAGAAGUGCUAUUUUUGUACCAUGUUAUAUAAUUUUGUCAAAUAUCUUCAUUAAACUAGAUCAGUCCUACUCUUUUCAGAAUCUACUACUUCAGUUUUAUUUGCAUCUGUCAAAUAAAUUUGUAGAUAUUGAUCAAAGAUCUCUUAGAGCACCUUUUCUUCCUGUAACUCCACCUUCCAGCACUGAGGACAGAAAAAGCACAUGACAAGAUCUAGGAGUAUUGUUCCUUCAUUUCCCUCUUCAUCACCCCUCUAGCUUUGUGGUGGGGAAAUCCCUUCAAAAUACCCUAGCUACUCCUCUGCCUUAUAUUUUUAUAAGAACACAGCAAGAUUUGGAGAGACUUUCCUUGCACCAUGGCCAUCUCUGCAGUGUUAUUCCCAGUGAGGAUGUUAUCAGCCUUAGGCUGUGACAGUGACCAUCAUAACCCACUUCUAGCCCCAGACCCCUGCCCACCAGGGAAAGGGAUGGGGCAAGAUGAGGAUGUAUGGCAAAAAAAUUAUGGCAGAAAUUUGUGACAAAUGGUAUGAUUGUAAUCAAUGACCAAAAAAAAAUGAAUGACAAAACAAAAAAGUUAAUGGUAAAACAAUGAAGGAAUGAGAAUGCAAAACAGAUAAUUAGGUGUACAAAAAAAAGACAAGAUCCAGAUUGUGAAAAGUAAAAAAAACAACUAUUUACAGAGAACAGUAUAUUUCUCACAAAGCCACAAAGCACUGCAUUCUUGCCAUAACUAUAAAAUUUAUUUGGAUAAUAAACCCAGACCAACUUCAAACUACAUAACAUGUCGUGCAACUAGCACUUGUUUUGAGGACUCAAGUUGGAGAAAAUCAGGGUGGAGUCAAUGCCACUGAAACAGGGUCUCUGCUGGCUGAGUUUCUACUCCAAUCAAAAAAGAGCAGGAGUGCCUGCCAGUCCCCACUACACCAAAAGGUACAAUUUUAAUUCUCCAAACGAGAAUGAUGCUCUAAAUGAAAGAAAACUGAUGGGGAAAAUUACAUAUCUUUCAGGAACACUUUUCAUUAAAUUGGGUUUUUUUCCCAUAAAAUUUUUGUGUGGUUUUCCCUCCUAGUGCUAUCCAAAAUCCUGGAAAUCUGGAAAAGAUGACUGACUGUCCGUUCUCUAAAAGUGAUAUUUUCCUUGUACCAGGGAAUUCUUUUUUAAUUUUUUUAACCACUACUAAAAAAAUGAAGCAAAUUAAGCCAAAACUUCAAGGUAAAAUUUUUAGCCACCUUACUGGGUAAAGUUAUCAAACCACUUCUUUUUUAAUCUCAGAGAAAACAGGAGUGUUUUUGCUACAGCUCUAUCAUUACUACUUCACCUUUGAUUAUGUUACCUUCAAAAUCAGUGCAACUGUUUUUCUACCAAAUACUUGAAUACUAGCAGGGGUUUGUAAUUAACUUUUCUAUGCCUUUUUCCCUUCUCAGUUGUGAGUCUAAGUGUAUUGUCUUUUAGUCUUCAUGAUGAUAUAGAGUGCUAUCACCUAAUAUGAUCAGCUAAGAAAAUAGUCUAUUUUACUUUUUUAACUCACUAGCAACUACAAAAUGUAGUAUUUCCUGGCAAGAAUAAAAACUGAAAUAUUCUGAAAAUACUGCAAAAUCAAGGAGUAGAAUUAUC